UCGGAUUGCAGGCUGCAACCCGCCUGCAUGAAGUUGGAAUCACUAGUAAUCGCGGAUCAGCAUGCCGCGGUGAAUGCGUUCUCGGGCCUUGUACACACCGCCCGUCACACCAUGAGAGUCGGGAACACCCGAAGUCCGUAGCCUAACCGCAAGGGGGGCGCGGCCGAAGGUGGGCUCGAUAAUUGGGGUGAAGUCGUAACAAGGUAGC
rnacentral:rRNA from 1 species